UUACCUCAGUAACGGCGAGUGAAGCGGUAAUAGCUCAAAUUUGAAAUCUGGCCCUUUCAGGGUCCGAGUUGUAAUUUGCAGAGGGCGCUUUGGAGUCGGCAGCAGCCUAAGUUCCUUGGAACAGGUCAUCAUAGAGGGUGAGAAUCCCGUAUGUGGCUGCUUGCCUUCGCCGUGUAAAGCCCCUUCGAUGAGUCGAGUUGUUUGGGAAUGCAGCUCUAAAUGGGAGGUAAAUUUCUUCUAAAGCUAAAUAUUGGCCAGAGACCGAUAGCGCACAAGUAGAGUGAUCGAAAGAUGAAAAGCACUUUGGAAAGAGAGUCAAAAAGCACGUGAAAUUGUUGAAAGGGAAGCGCUUGCAGCCAGACGUGCCCGCAGUUGCUCAUCUGGGGUUCUCCCCAGUGCACUCUUCUGUGGGCAGGCCAGCAUCAGUUCGGGCGGUUGGAGAAAGACCUGUGUCACGUAGCUCUCUUCGGGGAGUGUUAUAGGGCAGGUGGAAUGCAACCAGCCUGAACUGAGGUCCGCGCAUCUGCUAGGAUGCUGGCGUAAUGGCUGUAAGCGGCCCGUCUUGAAACACGGACCAAGGAGUCUAACAUCUAUGCGAGUGUUUGGGUGUCAAGCCCGAACGCGUAAUGAAAGUGAACGGAGGUGGGAACCCCUCGGGGUGCACCAUCGACCGAUCCUGAUGUCUUCGGAUGGAUUUGAGUAAGAGCAUAGCUGUUGGGACCCGAAAGAUGGUGAACUAUGCCUGAAUAGGGUGAAGCCAGAGGAAACUCUGGUGGAGGCUCGCAGCGGUUCUGACGUGCAAAUCGAUCGUCAAAUUUGGGCAUAGGGGCGAAAGACUAAUCGAACUAUCUAGUAGCUGGUUCCUGCCGAAGUUUCCCUCAGGAUAGCAGUAACGUUUUCAGUUUUAUGAGGUAAAGCGAAUGAUUAGAGGCCUGGGGGUUGAAACAACCUUCACCUAUUCUCAAACUUUAAAUAUGUAAGAAGUCCUUGUUUCUUAAUUGAACGUGGACAU
rnacentral:rRNA from 1 species